rnacentral:lncRNA from 1 species
UCUUACUUUCCCUUCGCUUCCGUCCUCGUCUAUUGUCUCUCCCGUGAUUCCGUGAAAGAAAGAGAUAAGGCAAUCUCCAGUUCUUCUCCUUCUCCCAUUGCUGUGGAAUCGGAUAUUCCGGUCAUCCGCCAUAGCAUCAGAGAGGUACGCUACCUUCUCUCUCUCGGAUCUCGAAUUUUUCUCCUUGUUUUGAUUCUAGUCUUUAUCUGAAACGGACCCCCAGUUGUGUUGCUAAUUUCGCCCCCCUUCUCCAUCUGUAUAGUGAUUAGUGCCUCUCUGCUGUAUAUAGUAAUAUUUUUUAUUACCACGUAUUUUUUUUUUCAUUUUUUUAUGAAGAACAAGUGUCUUUCUCUCUCUAUAUAUAUGUAUGUAUGUAUGUAUCCAAAUUGAUGAUGAAAAUUAACCCGAACUAUAUGCUUAAAAUCUUUGUGGGGUCCCAAAGAUCUCUUAAAUAAGCUAGCUGUUCAUGAAUGAUUUUGAGCGCUUCUUCUUGAAAUUAAAGAAGCUGUGACUCCCCAACUCGGCCCGAUUACAAUUUGUGAUGAUCUGCAAAAGGAUUGUGGGCUGAAGAUGGGAUGGUCAUUCUGAUGCUCCUGCAGGAAAGGAUAAUAGCAGCGUUUGGAAGGCGAUGCGAAUCGUGGUGGAGAUGUCGCUGCCAUGCCUUAUCCUGCUCGCGAUCCUGGCCCUUGCUUGCUACCUUGUUGGUUGGGCCAGGGGCCGGUCCGACUUCCCAGCACUACGGGCCGCCUGGCCCGGCCCAGGAAAAGUAAGGGUCUUACAUGGAUAUCACAUAUAAACAACUACUACUCUUGCCAUAUGAGCUUGAUUGUGGUUUUAUUUGUAAGAUAUGAUGUUGGUGGGUUUGAUAUGCUUUUUUUGCGUCUUUGUUAAGCAUGGGUUUUAAACAAUAAUUUUAUAUUUGUUUUAUUAUUAUUCAGUUGACUAGUUUGAUAAACAUGACCCUCAAUCUUGGUUAGUUAACUUCUUAAAUAGUGUUGUCAAGCCCCCGUUCAGGGGAAAUCCAUGGGCUGAGCUAACAAUGUUAUACUUGAUGCCUCUACAUAUUCUUGCAUGCCCAACUAAUCGUUUAAUACACACUAGCAAUUUUGAUAUGUCUCUGGCUCAUGAUAACUAUGUAUGCUUGCUAAAAAAACAUUAAAAACUGAGCUAGAAAGUGUCUGUAACAGCUAUAAAACAUGGUAAUCUCGAAGAUAAUAUACUGCAUGACUGUUGCAAGAGGGCUAACGAUGCUUUGAUAUCCUGUUAGCUAAUUGCUAGAUUCCAAAAAUUUAAGUUGAUAUGGAAGGGAUCAAUAAUGUAUAUCAGGGUUUAACCCUUCUUCAACUUUAUAUAUAGCUUGGACCAUGCACAUGAAGGUAUGAGUGAGUCAAGAGUGACUUAAGGUAAGAACAAGUAAAGAUUGACUCAACAAAGAACGAGUCAAUAGAAGAAAAGACUCCUAUUCCUAUACCAUGAUACACUCGAGUUAGAGGAACAAGAGAAGCCAAGUGUGGAAAUAUACAAUACUCAUUAAGAUAUGGCUCAAGGUAAAUAUAAACCUAAAAGGAAUAUGGUCAUCACGAUGGCGAGAAUGUCACAAGAGGAUAUGCAGAAUACCUAGAGUAUGCUUACGCUCUUAACACAUCUGUGAUAACAAAUCAGCAAGAGGAAGCCUCGAAGAAUGCACCACUGAACAACUCCACAGGGCUAUGACCAACAUGAACUUUAGAACAAUUCAACAAAGGGUUACAGAGAAUUCUGGUACUAAUUUAUCCAAUCAUAUCCCAGCUCAAAUACCAUGUUCUGGUAUCUGCUAUAAGACUGUAACAUGCAUGCCAUUUCAAUUCAGAUACUUCUCCAUCUUUGUGGCAUCACUCCCAUGUCAUACCCAAGAAGCAUCGAUCUGCCAUUACUCGUACGUGGAUGGAACGAAGAACUCGAACCGUUUGGUAAUUGGUUUGGUUUAGAAGGUGCAGUCGAAGGGGGACCAGGGGAAGGUUGGAGUGGUUGUUAGAUUUCUAUAUCUAAAGAUUUAAUAAUGCAACAAAUCAUCUUUAAUUAAAAUUAAUCUGAAUACUCAUACAUGGAUGUGAUCGGAGACUAUAGCUUCAAGGGAGUGAUCAACCUACUCUUAUCCUGUCUCAACAGAAAAAUGUCCUCUAAAGGUUGCAUGCAAGCAACAAAAACUGAAACAAGACUUCAGCACCCAAGACUGACCAAGGUAUUGCACCAAAAGAAAACUGACAAAAUAGCUAUAACGCUAAUAGAUAAUGAGAGUGCUUGUGUAUGAUAUCCUCGUCCUUCCAACUCCAAUGCAAGACAGGACUUUAGCAUCUAGGACUGACCAAAAGAAAUUGUACCAGAAAAAGACCAAGUUAUCUGUACCCUACCAGAUUAAGGGAAUCCUUGUGUAUCUACUUGUCCUUCCAACUCCAACGCAAGCGCCCAAUUUCCUUUACCUUUUUCUCAGCUUUCUUUCUUUUUCAAUUUGCUUAUUUUAUAGGCACUUAUCGAAUUGGCUCCCAUCUUUUACAUCAAAAAACAGCCUAUGUAAUUGAUGAAAGAAACAAACUCCUCCAUUUGCCUUGAUUUUAUAUCUCAUUUGCCAUGACAUCAUAGCCAUCCAUAGAUACAUGUGCCACAAUAAUCAUAACAAUUUGAAAAUCAUGUGAUCACAAUCAUCAAUUAGAUAUCCAUAGUUUAGUUAAACACAUUACAUUAAUAUUUUAUAGUAUUAUAGUUAUAUGUAAUUAGCUAUUAUAUUGCAUAUGCUAAAUGUUAGUCACGUGACAUGCAGACUCGGCCACAUUUUUUUUUUUUGCUUAGGUAAAAAGGGAAGGAGAGAGGAAGGGAGGAAGGGACAAGCCUACCCCCGCGUAGCAGUUUCUACUGGACCCCCAUCCUGCUAGGAGAAUGUUCGAUGCGGGCAGAAAUGACUGUGUUGGGCACUCCGGCCGGUUUUACUCAUACCCUCCUCAUUUGUGGGCUCGGCUCGGUUACCUUUCUGGGCUCUGACACGAACCCUUAAUGUGAGUAUGUCACAUCCGGCAUCACCGAGGCUACCAGCAGACCAAUGAGCCCUCCCAGUCUACGUGUCCGUGCAGGGAGCGUCCGGUCUUUACAAUUUAAUCGAUGCUCGUGCGUUCCGAACUUGGAGCCACGGGAGUGGAAGUAAGGCCAUGGUACCACUGAGCUACCACCUCAGUGGCCACUCAACCACCUUUCUGUCACGUCUCGGCAAGAGUUUUGUUUUUUAAUAGAAUUAUGAAAUAAUUAAGAGAGAGAAAAGAAAUGAACAAGAAGAGCGGUAAAUCUACUCCUUCAAAUUGGAAAAAUCAUAGUAGUCGUCCAUUGAUCUUUAACCAUAUUAAAAUAUUUUUUUGAAAUAUUUAUAUAAUUUAAAAUUAUAAAUUUUUUAUUUUUUGUCACCCGUGAGGCUGUGACUUGUGCUAACUUCAUAAAGAUCUAAUCUUAAUGUGGCCGCUCCGAUGCCUGGAAGACACGAGUCAUCUGAAGUUGCAUGGAUAAAUGACACGAGGCGCGCCAUUCGGUGGAAACUAAACUGCCACGGAAUAGCACCGUUGACCAACGGUCCGUACUCCCUCCCUAUCUUUUUCACUCUCCCCCUCUAUCUUCCCUUCUCUCCUCUUCUCUUCUUUUCUCUCUCUAUUCACCCUCCGCCUCCUCUUCUCUUCUCUUCUCUUCUCUUCUCUUCUCUCUCCCCUGAAACAAAGAAGGGAGAGAUCUCCAGUGUUCCUCUUCCUCGGAUUGCAGUGGCUUCCGAUAUUCCGGUCAUCCGCCAUAGCAUCAGAGCGGUACGCUACCUUCUCUCUCUCGGAUCUUGCAUUUAAGGGGAUGUUUCGAGGGGUGCAAGACUGCCAAGAUCUCCUUGAUUUGAUCUGUGUCUUUUUGUGNNN